rnacentral:misc_RNA from 1 species
AGCAGCCGCGGUAAUUCCAGCUCCAAUAGCGUAUAUUAAAGUUGUUGCAGUUAAAAGCUCGUAGUUGAACUUCGGGGUUUACCCAUUGGUCAGGCUUAAUUGUCUGUACUGGUGAGAUGAAUCUCUACCUUCUGAGGAACUUUCAUGCCAUUUAUUUGGUGUGGUUGGAAAUCAGGACUGUUACUUUGAAAAAUUGAGUGUUUAAAGCAGACUAUCGUCUGAAUACAUUAGCAUGGAAUAAUGAAAUAGGACGGACUGAUUCUAUUUCGUUGGUUUCUAGGAUCACCGUAUGAUUAAUAGGGAUAGUUGGGGGCAUUAGUAUUCAAUUGUCAGAGGUGAAAUUCUUGGAUUUAUUGAAGACUAACUACUGCGAAAGCAUUUGCCAAGGAUGUUUUCAUUAAUCAAGAACGAAAGUUAGGGAUCGAAGACGAUCAGAUACGUCGUAGUCUUAACCAUAAACUAU